rnacentral:lncRNA from 10 species
CUUUGACGUCACCCACGCUGGCCCUCGUGUGACUCACGGCCCAGCCCUGAGCCAGAAUCUGCUCCUGUUAUUACGGGUAUGAUUGUCUCCAUUUUACAAAUGAAGAUAUGGAGGCUCAUAUUCUUCAUCUGCAACUCAUUGAUGGAUAACCAGGUCGAGGUGACUGAUAGCCCUGCAGUCCUCUCUUCUCUCUAUGCUGAGGGAGAAUGACCUUUGAUUUGUGGCACUCACAGGGGCUGGCAAGGCCUGCAGUCAUUUGCAGCUGAUUCUGCUGCUUUGUGUCAUGAGACAUUAAGUGACCUGCUUGGAUUCACUGAACUAAUUAGUGGCAUAGCUGGGAUUGGAACUCAAUAUUCCCUUCUCCAAAUGAUGGGGUUCCCUCUGUGCUUGGUGUCUUCUUGACUUCUAAUGUGUCUGAAAUGCAUAAUUGUUAGAACCCUGGGCCCCUGUAACCUUCACCGGUCAACUCUCAUCACCCCAAGCACCCUGAUGGAUUCGCGGAGCACAGAGGACAAUCCCAGCAAACGUGUUUAUCAUCAAUGAGGGCUUUUGUUGCCGUCUCUUGUACCUUGGUGACUUGGGAUAGAGCACACAUAAACCUCCAGGAUUAUUUUUCACCCUUUUAGUUUAAGGACUAGGAUGAAUGAACAACUCUUGGCCUAUUUUGUUAACCUUAACUCACACCUACUUUUUGCCCUGUGACCGAGGCAUGAAAAUACGUGUUUUUUUCCUUUAGGCCUAGAACAAAGCUGCCACCUUCCCCCACAGUGGUGUUUUUUAAAUGCUUGGUUAUGACCAAUUAGAGGAUUGUAAAAUCAGUGUAGUGGGGUGACGAGCAUUAAAAAAUAGAACA